rnacentral:rRNA from 1 species
UCGGGAAUUUUGGGCAAUGGGCGAAAGCCUGACCCAGCAACGCCGCGUGAAGGAUGAAGUAUUUCGGUAUGUAAACUUCGAAAGAAUAGGAAGAAUAAAUGACGGUACUAUUUAUAAGGUCCGGCUAACUACGUGCCAGCAGCCGCGGUAAUACGUAGGGACCAAGCGUUGUUCGGAUUUACUGGGCGUAAAGGGCGCGUAGGCGGCAAUUCAAGUCAUCUGUGAAAUCUCCGGGCUUAACUCGGAACGGUCAGAUGAUACUGCUUUGCUAGAGUGCAGAAGGGGCAAUCGGAAUUCUUGGUGUAGCGGUGAAAUGCGUAGAUAUCGGGAGGAACACCUGUGGCGAAGGCGGCCACCUGGUUGGAUACUGACGCUGAGACGCGAAAGCGUGGGGAGCAAACAGGAUUAGAUACCCAAGUAGUCCCUGAGCGGGCUGGCAAGGCGCAU